CCCCCCCACCCCGGGGGCCUCUCCACCCCCUCAGGCACUGCAAGGCAAAUCCAGGCUCUUCCUGAUUCAAUGGGACAUGGGAGGGAUGAGAUUGUCCCAAGAAAGUGCUAGACCGUCACCAGUGCGGCUGUUCGCCGAGGCUAGGUGCAGGAGGAGAGGAACCGGGGAGCCGCGGAAGGAGGAUAAGCUAGUCUCUGGUCUCACUGCGAGGACUUCUCUCCGUGCCGACCUUCUCGACUUCCCUGGAAGGGCUGCAAACUGAUUCCCACGGUCUUAACAAUCAAGACUGGGGGUUCCAUCCCAUUUGAGUUUUGGAGAGUCUCAGGGAGGACCAGAACACUAAGCAAGGCAAGAUCUUGAGAAGCAUUGAUGUGAUCUCAGUAAUAAA